AUACCUUCUCGGCCUUUUGGCUAAGAUCGAGUGUAGUAUCUGUUCUUAUCAGCUUAAUAUCUGAUACAGCACACUUGUGUGCUGAGAUAUUAUGUGAAUUUUUCACGGGGGUGGCGGGUAGCUCUGAGGCAACUCUGAGUCUGCCACACGUUGGCUGCAGAAGCUACUGGAAAGACCGCGCCCCCC